rnacentral:rRNA from 1 species
ACCUAGACUUGACAUCUCCUGAAUUACCCGUAACUGGGGAAGCUCUUCGGAGCAGGAAGACAGGUGGUGCAUGGUUGUCGUCAGCUCGUGUCGUGAGAUGUUGGGUUAAGUCCCGCAACGAGCGCAACCCUUUAUCGUUAGUUGCUACCAUUAGGUUGAGCACUCUAGCGAGACUGCCCGGGUUAACCGGGAGGAAGGUGGGGAUGACGUCAAAUCAUCAUGCCCCUUAUGUCUAGGGCUACACACGUGCUACAAUGGUGAGGACAAAGAGACGCAAGACCGCGAGGUGGAGCAAAUCUCACAAACCUCAUCCCAGUUCGGAUUGCAGGCUGAAACUCGCCUGCAUGAAGCCGGAGUUGCUAGUAAUCGCGAAUCAGCAUGUCGCGGUGAAUACGUUCCCGGGCCUU